CCAGCCCUGACCCUUAGGUCUUAGGAAGAACACUCAGCCAUUAGACCUCAGGCCCCAUGCCCUGACCCCAGGCAGAAAGCCAUGUCCUGCAUCCAGGGAUCCAGAAGAGUCCAAAGAACAUAGAAGGAAUGCUGAUCACAGCUCCGGAUCUAGAGGAACAAUGACUAUAAUUAGCUUCAUCUGCCCGUCAAGCAAGGAAUGUCUCUGAAGCCAUGUGCUGAUGACCAGGCAGAGAGGCUGGCAGAGAGCUGGGAUGGAAGUGCUGUCACUGUCACUGGCCAAUGACAAGACCCAAGAGAGGAGUGGUUGCAUAGCACAUCUGGGCAGGCCAGACCACUGGCGGGCGUCCCUGCCAAAUUCCACAGCCACCUCACACCUCCAGGAGCCUCAGAAGACUCCCAGGCCAGAAGGACCAUCCGGGGAGGAACAGCGCAAUUCUCAGUGCAGCCUUCAUGGACUGGCAGGCCCGAUACUCCGCCGAGGAGAGAAUGUGCAACCCAGAAAUUUUAAAGGCCGCUGAGUAUUCUAUCCUCUCCAAGAACAAAAUAGGAAUGACAUUUGACCUGUUGUCACUGCCCACAUGAAUAGAACGUUGUGCUUUAAAGAAUAGAAGAUGGGAAGACCAUGACUCUCACUCCCCUAACAGAAAACAGAAUUCAUAAAACCUCGCGACAGAGACUUUAAUGGCAACCUGUCCCAGGAGUCCCCAGGAGUCCCAAGGAGUCCUCAAACCUGUGUGUCCAUUAGAAUCAGCUGCAGAGUCUAUCUGAAAUGCCACUGAGCCAUCCCAGAAAUGAUGAACCAUCUCUAAUAAGACCCAGGCAUCCGGAUUUUGAACAUCUGUUUUCCAAGUGAUUCUGAUGGACAGCCUUAUUUGGGCACCUCUCUUUCAAAUCAGAAUGCCUACAACAUUGCAACCAAGGGGUCCCAUGGUCUUUGCUGAAACGCCUCUCGUGAGAGCGAGCCGACCCACUCUGUCCCCGGAUGAAGCUAGCUGUUGGGAAACCAGCCUCCAUGGAAUACCCAACCACUCGCCCUGCAAUGACAGGUGAACUGCACACAUAAACUGUACUUAUGAAGCGGUAGAUUAUUAUCACCUUCACUCAAGAAACCAUAAAAAGAAAGAUCUACACCAAGAUUCCUAUUUCGGGCUAUAAAAAAAUAAGGGUACAUCCUAAACGUUAUUUUUAAUCACAAGUGGUUUGGUACUAAAUUAGAUUAGUAUAUUAGUGCAUAAAUUAGAUAGUGCUAAUCUUAUGAGCUGGACUAAAUCCAGUUUUAGAACAAACCUCUCACUCUCUGUGGUGGAAGUGUCAGUGAUUAAGAACACAGCGCAAAGAAUACGAGUCUUUAAACCCUACCUGGGUUGGAUCCUGGAUCUCCCAUUUACUGUUUUGAGCGGCCUUGGGCAUAAUAUUUAAC
rnacentral:lncRNA from 1 species